CAACACCUUUAGGAUUUGUUUGACUUCCAAUACGCCUUCCUGAAGUUAUUGCUGACUAACGCUGUGAAAUCAUCAGUUUUUUAUUUUGAAUGUCUAAAACACCGUAAGAUUUCUUGAGGCUACUUCUCACAAAGAGAUUGCAGUUGGUGUCCUUUGCUCAUUAUUACAGGAUGUGAGUCAUUUUGAAGAAAGAGAGGGGGGGAGGACAAACAAAAACCCUAUUUUUCUCAAAGCUCUGAAAAUAUAUUUUGUCCCUGAUCUGAGCUGUAGUUUGAUGUGAAUAUGAGAGAAGCCAGGGCUGGCUGGGAGCUCUGCUGGCCCUGAGAUGCACAGAGCACGUGUCCUGCAGCAGCUGGCUGUGGGGUGAUGGCCCUCCUUACUCAGAGGAUGGGUACAUCCCUGGGCUGUAAUGUGAUAUAUCUUGAGCAGCUGAACACUUUGGAGCUUGUGAAGAACAAUACAGAGGGGCUGGAUUUUGUUGCGUUUUGAGCUCUUCCUGGAGAAAACAAAUGGAGUACUGUGGGUAUUUUUUUUUUAUUUGUGUAAUCUUGAGGCAGAGUAUCACAUAUUGCAGAGGAUGAUUGAAGCAGACAACGUUUGUGCUGGUUCCCAGUAUGGAAAAUGUGAACAAGACAAUUCUGCAUCACCUUUCCUUUCUGGGACCUCAAUGCAAACAAGUGCCGGCGUUUGUCCUCACUCCUCUCCCUCAGCUCUGCUGUUAUGAACCCAUCGGAGGUGGUAGAUCUGCAGUGGGUGACAAAGGGGCUGCACAGCCCAUGGCCAUUUGUUUCUGCAAAAUCAUCUGGAUAAUGGAGGCUCCACCGUCGAUGCAGUUUAUAUCGAAACACCAACUGGGGCAAGAGGAUUUCUCAUUCCUUACUGUGCAAGAGGAAUAAAACAGCUUUCAUCUCAUUUUCCAAAUGGUGCUGAUUCCACGAGGGCCUGCUGGCAACGUACGAAGGACCUGGGAGGAAAGGCGAUGCCGCGGUCCAUGGAACAUCUUUGCAUUUCAGAGUUCGGGAGGAGUCACAGUGCCGUCUGAUGCCAGGCAGGCACACGCGCAGCCCGCGCCCACCCAUCGCG
rnacentral:lncRNA from 1 species